CUGUCUGCAAAUUGCACAGGAUCUUGUCCUUCUCUGAGAAGUGCAGUGGAACACUAUCACAGCUUGGGUUGGUGCUCACAUCAAAACUUGAUACCACCUGCAAACAGCAGCCUGCUAUGAAGCUAAAAUUGCAGAGGUUUAGUAGUCUUGGGACAUCAAGAAUACACAAUAAACAUAUCUAACAAAGUUGCUCUCUUUGCCAGCAGAUUUAAUCAUCAAUUAUUGUAGGAACAGAAUUUUUAGUAGGAACAGUGAAGCAUGGGCAUAAAUUGAGCUACAGAUUCACCACAAUCCCUUGUAACAUAAAUUGAUUCUUCAAAGAAUCAGGGAAAAAGAACUUGGGACUGUUGGAGAACACAUCACAAAUAUUUCUUCCUAUUUCUUAUUUGCUAGUGGAAAUGGAAGAUUCAAAUCUCUCUUCAUUUUCUCAGGAGCCAAACAAAUCUAAGACUACCUGAUCAUCUGUGAACAUCACCCACUCUGACCUACAAAUCCUCUGCUUUUUCUUGGGAUUCUGUUUUUAUUUCUUUAUACCUUUUAUAUGAUAUACUAUGCACAGUUUUCCCUGACCUACAUAUAUUAGAAGUAUUACAACAUAUGAAUUCUGCAUCUACACAUAAUUGUCAGACAUUGUGCAUGACCCAAGUGUUCAUAUAUGAAAGAUCUGUUUGUAUGUAAACCAAUCUUUACUGUUUCUGCAUAACAUCAGAUUCUUUUGGAAGUAUGGAACCAUUCAAGCAAAUACUCCCAGAAAUCACUGAAACUCACAAGAUGAAUAAAUGGAAAUUAAAUAACCUUCCAAUGGUGAUGGGAAACAAAAUGCAAAACUCUUGUAGUGUUUAAAAGCCUUGCUGAUAUAUAAACAAAUGAAUUCAUCACUGUAGUUGCCAUGGCCAUACUUGUGUGCACUAUGGUUUAAGAUUUCAUUGUUUCAAAAUGCAUAUAUGUAAUUGAGAAGUUUAUACAAAUAAAUCACAAGGCCACUGAAGAAUUUUUGAUGGAUUACCAGAAUAUAAUGCUUUAACCCAAUGGUUAUCACAAGGUAAGUUCAGAAGUUGUCACAUGAAAAGAACAUAGAUCAGAUUCACCUUCCCAUAAUGUUAAGUUGCUUGCUUCUAAAGAAUUCAUCAAGGGCAUUACUUUGGACUAUCAAUCUGAAACCAAUGACAAAAAAGUGAAUCCUAAGUUCCAUUAUGACUUCAUUUGGACUAACUUGAUUCUGAGAUUUUAUCACUGGUACUGGGUUGGUAUGCAUUAAACAUCUAACCAGAUCAAACCUUGAAAAGAAAUUCUUCCCACUUUGUGUCCUGUCUUUAGUGUUCUUACCAGUUGGUGAUCUCCAAAGUUUCACCACCCACAAAGUUAUCAUAUCAUAGAUAUUAACAUUUCACCUUAAAUUUGCAUGGUUUCUUGUUGGUAUUAGACCUUUCCUUGGAAACCAAGCCUUCUUCCCAUAAAUCUCACCUAUUGAUAUGUACCUUUUGUCUUCCAAAAAUCUUGCAGAAAUCUAUAAACAUAAGGUAGAUGCUGUCCGAUAUCUCGGUAUCAUACCAGUCUGAUAAAUUACCAAAAUCGAUAUCAGAUCUGAUAAGGGUGUAUCUAGUGCAGGAGGCUCCCACCAAUGCAAGGUCUGGGGAGGAUCAGUGUAUGCAGCCUUAAUAAUAUCAGAUCUGAUAUCUAAAAGAAUUAGAAUGACUGAAUCAUUGAGCUAAAGAAUGGUUCUUCUCCAUGUUGUCAUGAUCUAUGCCUAACCCACCUACCACCAUGCAUAUGACAACACACUGUCCAUAUCGACAUGAUAGAAAAUACCACCACAAAUUUUGUCUGAACUGGACUUGCUCCUCCUCUCCAUGUCCAUCGGUUGAGUUGUGCUCCUCCCUCAACAAAAGUACUGUAUCAUCAAUCACUGUCUCGUUGCCUCCAAAGUCCAGCAAGCGUGAAUCUUACUCAUUUCAGUCUCUGGACUUGAUUGGAGCGAGCAUAGCAAGAAUGCUUGUCUCAGAACAUUUGUAUCAACCUGAUGGCAGGCCAAGCACUUGAUUACUUGUGAGAUGAGACAUUGAUAGUGAUAGAUAAACUCAAAUAUACCCAAAACUAGAAAAAAUCAAAAUCUAUAAAAGACAUCAACUCAUUGUAAGCAUGUCCAACUUCAAUAAUCAAAAUAAAAUUUUACUUUUGUAGAAGUUUAAGCUACACUAUCACAUCUUUGGAACUUGGUCAAUGCGUUUAUAAGCAUUAAUGGUGCAGUCGAUACCAACCAGAGAAAACAACUUCUUAGGAUUUGUUCACCAACACAGUCCUUAAUCUGCACAGGAUCUAUUUGUAUUCCUCUUUUUAUUUCUAUCUACACAUCCCUGCUCAUCCGGGUUGAUGUCAAUCCACUGAUCCACAAAAAUAGAUUUGAGUCAUCGUCAAAGAAGACUUGAAACUAAUAAUCAUGAUACAUUAUUUCUCUAGCAUCAAAUAAAGAACAUGAAAUCUUUCUCAUCAAUUUAGGUGAUGCGGAGGAAGCUCAAGGGCAAAGAGGUAGGUGAAGAAGUAGUUGAAUUUUUGUUGGUUGUUCCCUUUUCAAUUUCACAUGCGAUCAUAAAUUAUAAAGAUUUGAGAUCUCAAGUAAUCCUUGUGGCUUGUGAUCUUUGUUUAAUUAAUGAAGUCACAAGAACAAAAAAAAUUGCUUGUAUAAUAUAUCAACAAGUUGAAAUUUGAACUAACAACAUGAAAGGAAUUAAACUAAACAAAAGUACGAUACAUUCCAUGACAUUUAUAUAUUUUGAUUUGGUUAGGUGAUCAAUAUUUACAUGGGAGGAAGCAGAAGAAGCAACAACUUAAUAAUGCUCUGUCCUUGUCAUGAAGUAAGUACUCUACAUGGUUCAAAAACAGAUAAAGCAUUGGGGGAUUCCACAGCCAUUUAAGCAUUGUUUUAGACCAAGAAAUCAGUCUACCAAACUUGAAACUGACACCAAUUAGCCUUAAAACUAGAUUUAGGAGUCUAUAUGAAGAGUGUUAAUGUAAAUCACUAGAACCUAAUAUAUUUUGGCCCUUCUCCUCACUUGAGUUUGGUUUAUCUCAACCUAAACCGACUUGAACGCGAGAGAGAAUAUAUGACCAUUUCUCUUUACUUGAGUUCAGUCGAUCUCAACUUAAACCAACUUGCACGUGAGAAAGAACGUUGUAUGAGAAUACUGUUUUUAUGACUUGAAUAAUCCUAAACCCUUUUUGCAUCAUUUUUGAGAAAGGAUAUUAAGUACUUCUCGGCUGAAAUGAGGUCAAACCGUAGAACAAGUCAGCCAUUAAGUGUCUCAUAACGAAGGUGCCAACUCUCUUGGCUAAUAAAGAUGUUAUGAGACGAUUUUCAGAUCAAACAAGAAAAAUCUUUGGGUGGAUUGAGGUUCAGUUGACUGUAGACUGUUCCAUUCAAAACAUAACAAGUCCAAUAAAAAGUGAAAUUUUCAUCCAUCAAGUUGUGUUUUUCAAACCAAAUCGAUAUGCCUUUGAUGACAGAUCUCUUCUUCGCCAUGACACCAAUUCAAGUGAAUUAGGUUGGCGGUGCACCGGAUUUUUAAUUGUGUGGAUAACAACACAUUCUAAAUAUGCAUUUGGCUAAGUUACGACUCGAAGUACCUAAAUCUUCUUUUAAAGAUUACCGCAAUGACGACGAAUGGAAGAGUUGGAAGGUGAUGUGGGCUCUAUCAGUACUCCCCAAAGUGAAAAUUUUUCUUUGGAAACUUCUAUGAAAAGUACCCCCACAUCUAAAUGGACCUCUCACUUCCUUCACAACUAUAAACACAUGUCCUGUUUGUCAUUCAAGUCAAAAUUCAAUCAAACAUAACUUUUUUCAAAUUUUUUUUUUGCUAAGAACUUUUGAUAUCUUGUCCAAGCUAAAACCUCACUAGUGUCUCAACUAUUUUACAAUUGGGCAUGGCUUGAUGAAGAUGGAGAUCUAAACCCUCACUCAACAUCUUCUCUCCGUUCUUCAAUUGCUAACUAUCUUUUGACUCUUGUGGAAGCACUGAAAUGAUCGAUUGCCUCCUUCGCAACCAAUACCUUCAACCCUUCACAAUCUGGAUAAAAACACUUUCCCUAAUUGAUGACACCCAUGCUCCACCCCGUGAGGGCAGUGACAUUAAUCUCCCUCUUGCUUCAAUUCCUCCCCCUACCCAAACACCACAAUAUUGGUUUACUUUUACUUUGUGAUGGUUCUUAUUCUCUUCUCUUUCUCUCUUAUUGUCCUUGAUCAGGAGAACAAUAUUGUCAUAGCAGACUGUUGCACCUUGUCACCUACUUCUUCCCCACUGGCAGAGAGAUAUGGGCAGUCAUAGAAGGUCUCAAGCUUGCCUAUCAUGAAAUUAUUUUCCAUCUUCAGAUCUUGUCAGACUCAAAACAACUUAUGAACUUCCCACAGAACCCCAACAAAAUCCCUUAGACACUCAUCAACUCCACAUCUUUAAUCUAAGUCAAAUUUCUUUCAUUCAAAGCAGAAAAAAAACAUGCAUUUGGCAUUCAAUGCCUACCGCCGAGCCAUGAUGCUAUGUAAAGGGAAGCUAAAGAAGUAAUAAACAAUUUUAUGCUCGUACAAGUAAACUUAAUGCAUGAUUUGAUAUCUCAAUCGGACUAGUUCAAUUAGUCAAACCAACUGGUCAAACAUGGGAAGAAUGAUACAAACUCUCAUGGAUUACUCGAUAUUUCAUCCUCAUCAACCCCAAAUCAAACGUUGCCCUAAUUAAUCGAAAGAACCACCCCGAACAUAUACUGAUUGCGAUUGUUUGUUAUGACAUCACAUCUAAUAGCGACGAGCUUCUUUCCCCCUUCUUUUCUGUGUAGCAACUCGCGAAGCAAUUGACAGUUCUACCCAUUUCCUGCACGUGUCUCUAGAACUGUCUAGAAAGUUCAGUAGGCCUUUAUUUUUCAGUUUAGUUUCCUUUAUGUGAUAAAAGAAAUGGGAACAAGAAAUGGUGUGACUCAACCAACAAUCGCUCACGAAGACGGCAACGCCAAAAACAAGGCGUCAUGAUAUGGUUAAUCCACACGGUUAAUUAAUUUCGCUUGUAAAGAGAUGCGGGGGUAAAUUAGUCAAAGACCAGGACCAUCUCACGCACAGCUAAAACUUAGCUAGAGGCAAGUGAUGAAGUACCGGAAAUACCCUUCACCGCCUAUGUGAUGAGAGCAAAUUGAUUCUUAGAGCCACGCGGGCACUGCUUGUUGCACGCUUCGUGGCGUCUGCUUUCCAUCUCCCGCCCACCGGACGUUGACCCGUCUUUUACAAACUACCCCCCUCCCCCAGCCAUCUCCCUGUCCACCUCACGUAGUUGCCUAUUCACGAGCGUCAAUCUUUUCGAAGGACGCGUGUGCCUGUCAUCCACCGUCCAUCCGCUGGAUCCGCUUUGAGUUGCGUGCUCACCUACCACGGACACAAGACUCUCCUCGCCAAAAAGGUGCGAAGAGUCGGAGCUUCAAAUGAGAAAUCUCGCACAACUUUUACGUCUAAAUCAGCCCCGCACAGCGGAGAUAUCGGAUCGGUGAUGGACGGUGGCGAUGGAUAGGGGUGUUUAUUUCGUUGGCUCUUUUAGCUUUUUUUUUUCUUUGACGCAGAUUUCUACAACGAAUCCUAACAACUCUCUUUGCCUCGGAGCUCGUCGUCGCCAAAGCGUUGAAUUGGUGGCGUCGUGUUCGUUUUAAGAAGGUGAGAAGAAGUGGAGGUAAACUUGACUAGAACAGGAAAGGUCUAUAAAGAAAAAAAGAAGAAGAAAAGGGGAUUGGGAGAGAGUGGCGCACCGCUGAGAUGGUGAGGACGCCGUCGUCGGGCGGCGGGAGCUCCCGGAAGUCCGGCCAUCGGCGGAUCGCCGACAUCCUUGCGGAUGAUGAGGACUCUAGCGACGAGUCCGUCUUCAAC
rnacentral:lncRNA from 1 species